rnacentral:rRNA from 1 species
GCACGUAGGCGGAUAUUUAAGUCAGGGGUGAAAUCCCAGAGCUCAACUCUGGAACUGCCUUUGAUACUGGGUAUCUUGAGUAUGGAAGAGGUAAGUGGAAUUCCGAGUGUAGAGGUGAAAUUCGUAGAUAUUCGGAGGAACACCAGUGGCGAAGGCGGCUUACUGGUCCAUUACUGACGCUGAGGUGCGAAAGCGUGGGGAGCAAACA